rnacentral:rRNA from 1 species
AGAGUCUGAUCCUAGCUCAGGAUGAACGCUAGCGGCGUGCCUUAGAUAUGCAAGUCGAACGGUUUGACGCAAGUCAAGCAGUGGCGGACGGCUGAGUAACGCGUAGGAAUCUACCCCUAGGUAAAAAAUAGCUCACCGAAAGGUGGGGUAAUAUUUUAUAUUGUCCGAUUUAUUCGGACUAAAGAGCAUAACUGCUCGCCAAGGGAUGAGCCUGCGUCCUAUCAGGUAGUUGGUGGGGUAAUAGCCUACCAAGCCUACGACGGGUAGCUGACCCGAGAGGGUGGUCAGCCAGAGGGGGACUGAGAUACGGCCCCCACUCCUACGGGAGGCAGCAAUUAGGAAUAGUCGGCAAUGGGCGAAAGCCUGACCGCGCGACGCCGCGUGUAGGAUGAAGCUCUUUUUGAGUGUAAACUACUGUGGUAAAGGAAGAACAUUGAGCUUGCUCAAUUUGACGGUACUUUACUAGAAAGGGGUCGCUAACUGCGUGCCAGAAGCGUCGGUAAGACGUGGACCCCAAGCGUUAUCCGGUGUCAUUGGGCGUAAAGGGUAUGUAGGCUGUAUUGUAAGUUAUCUUUUAAAGCUUCCUUCUCAAAGGGAAAAAAGGGGAUAAAACUACAAUACUAGAAUUUCCUUUAGGGAGACUGGAACUUAGAGAGGAGUAGUGAAAUGCGUUGAUACUCUAAGGAACAUCAGUGGCGAAGGCGAGUCUCUGGAAGGUAAUUGACGCUGAAAUACGAAAGCUAGGGGAGCGAAGCAGAUUAGAGACCUGCGUAGUCCUAGCCCUAAACUAUGCUUGCUAGCUGCAUUCGCCUGGAUUUUUUAUGUUCUAAAAAAUCACAGGAAAUUCGAAUCUCGAAUCUCUAAACUCUAAACAAAUUCAAAUUUUUUAAUUUCAAAAUUUUAAAAAGGGGUUUUGAGUUUAUCAUUUUGUAUUUAGAUAUUGUUUAGGAUUUCGAAUUUAGAAAUUCGAGUUUCCCGUCUUAGGAUAUAAAAUAUCCAGACGGGUGUGGCGUAGGUAACCCGUUAAGCAAGCCGCCUGGGGAGUACGGCCGCAAGGCUGAAACUCAAAGGAAUUGGCGGGGAGGCACACAACCAGUGGAACAUGUGGUUCAAUUCGAAACAAACCGAAGAACCUCACCAGGGUUUGACAUCCAAGAGACGUCCCUAUGAAAGUAGGGAUUUCCGCAAGGACUGUUGGACAGGUGCUGCAUGGCUGUCGUCAGCUCGUUCCGUGAGGAGUACCCUUAAGUGGGAUAACGAGCGCAACCCCCAUCGUAUGUUACAAGUAUCAUACGAAACUGAUCGAGCUCAGCUCGAUAGGAAGGAGGGGCAGACGUCAAGUCAGCAUGGCCCUUAUACCCUGGGCUACACACAUGUUACAAUGGAUAGGAAUAAUGGGCUUUAGCUAGCCGGCAACGGUAUGCAAAUCCCAUAAAGCUAUUCUCAGUUGGGAUUGAGGUCUGCAACUCGACCUCAUGAACCUGGAAUUGGUAGUAAUCGCAAAUCAGCUAUGUUGCGGUGAAUACGUUCUUGCCUCUUGCACACACCGCCCGUCAAGCCAACAAAGUUGGAAUAAUUUGAACCGAGCUUUGCUCGGGAGGAUUUUUCUAGCGAUGGGGGUUAAGUCGUAACAAGGUAUCCGUUCUGGAAGGAGCGGAUGGAUCACCUCCUUUCUA